rnacentral:rRNA from 1 species
ACUCCUACGGGAGGCAGCAGUGGGGAAUAUUGCACAAUGGGGGGAAAACCCCUGAUGCGAGCCAUGCCGCGGUGUGUGAAGAAGGCCUUCGGGUUGUAAAGCACUUUCAGUAGGGAGGAAGGUAGUGUAGUUAACACCUGCAUUAUUUGACGUUACCUACAGAAGAAGCACCGGCUAACUCCGUGCCAGCAGCCGCGGUAAUACGGAGGGUGCGAGGCGUUAAUCGGAAUUACUGGGCGUAAAGCGCAUGCAGGCGGCCUGUUAAGUCAGAUGUGAAAGCCCGGGGCUUAACCUCGGAAUUGCAUUUGAAACUGGCAGGCUAGAGUCUUGUAGAGGGGGUAGAAUUUCAGGUGUAGCGGUGAAAAUGCGUAGAGAUCUGAAGGAAUACCGGUGGCGAAGGCGGCCCCCUGGACAGAUACUGACACUCAGAUGCGAAAGCGUGGGGAGCAAACAGGAUUAGAUACCCUGGUAG